rnacentral:rRNA from 1 species
CCUACGGGAGGCAGCAGUGGGGGAUAUUGCACAAUGGGCGAAAGCCUGAUGCAGCGACGCCGCGUGAAGGAAGAAGUAUUUCGGUAUGUAAACUUCUAUCAGCGGGGAAGAAGAUGACGGUACCCGACUAAGAAGCCCCGGCUAACUACGUGCCAGCAGCCGCGGUAAU